UCCAAGUGGAAGGAGCUGCCCUCAUCGUUCAACAUUUUCAUCAUUGAUAUUUCUCUGAACAAUUCCUUUCUCCAUGUGAUUUUGAUGAGCUCGACGCCGGUUCAAUUGUUGAUUCUCGAGCUACAAACCAACAAACUCACUGAAUUUCUCAUUGUUUAAUCAGAAUCGGAUGAAGUUAAGAAACUGAAUGCCUCACCGGCGCCGGCGUCGGAAAGUUUCUCAAGAUGCUUUUCUCUGCUCUUUAUCUCGAGAAAAGAGCCUGAUUCUUUCAGUUUCCUCUCUCUUCUGAUUCUUUUUGCCUUUUUGUUUUUCUGUAUGUUUCUUUCCAAAAACCGAGUUUCUUGUCUUUUGUUUUUCUCUACACUCUUGCUCUUUAUGCAGAGUGAAAUGGAUGCUUUCGUAAAGAGGCACUGCUUGUGGUUCUGUCUCUAAUGGCUCGUCAGGGCGCCGAUUCCAAUGCUGGCUACUGCAGCAAUGGUGAGAAGAAGAGUACGAGACAGGUUCAACAGCUAGAACAUCAGGUGGGAGAUUAUCUUGAAGGGGUUCCAUUCUACAGUCCGAGGAAUGAAAUUUCUGGACCUGAAAAUAGAAACCGAAUAGCAGGGAUUAAACGAAGUAAUCCAGAUUCUGCUUUCAUGGAGUCAUUUAGAAACCAAAUUCCUCAUAUUCUACAAAACGGAGCUGGUGGAGAUCGACCAAGAUACAACGAUAAUGAGGUGGUUUACAGUAUGCAGCCACCAAGAAUUGCUUCUUCUUCACUCACACAACUUUCUCUUGGCACUAGAUCUAAUCCUAGCGUUUCCAAAUGGGAGAGGCCUAUUCCGUUGAACAUGAGUUUUGCACCAAAUUCUCCACUUGGGAGUCUGUAUAUGCCGCGUGUUCAUCAAGUAGCUUCCAAUUCUUCCAGAGAUUUUAAUGUUUCUCCUUCCAGUAUUUCUCAGUCUGCUGCUGAUGAAGGAUCUAGAACUGGGAUGAAAAGCCCUGGACUUUUAAGUAGCUUUAACGGCGGACACGAUGGGAGGCACUCAUAUAAGAUGUUGCUAGGUUGUGACAAGCAGAAAACCAAGACUGAAGGUUUAGCAUACAAAUCUUCGAACCCUCCAAGUCAGCAGGGUGUUGAUUCUAACAACAGACAGAUGACUAUUUUCUAUGGUGGUCAAGCUCAUGUUUUUGACGAUGUCCAUCCAAACAAGGCUGAUAUUAUAAUGGCCUUAGCUGGAUCAAAUGGGGGAUCUUGGUCAACAACCUUGGCACCUAAACUGAAUGCAACUGGGAUAUCUAGUAACCAGGAAUCAGCUCAUGGAAAGUUAUUUCAUAGUUUGAUAUCCACCAGUCGAGGAGUUGGUGAUACUCCUAUCUCGACGCAAGCAGCUGUUGGUGAUCGUGCAGCGAAAGAGACCCGAGAACCGUAAAAAGAGAGACGAGUCAUAAGAUUGCUGUGAGAAUCAAUCUCAUUGCCAUUUUUGUCUAUCAGUUGCUUGUUUUUGCAAAUAGCAGUCGAUUAUACGACAACAAUGGCUUUCGUUCCAUCCCCGUCCAACUGUCACCAUUCUCGUGCCUUUUGUUCGGAACAACCAACCAGGAUGAUCAUCAUGCAGCAAGAGAGAAUUAUUCACGUCGAUCAUAACGAUCGGCAAGUUGCCAUUGAUGUGAUUUGGAGAUGUUUAUAGAGAGAAACAGUAUUUGGAGAUGAUUUUAGAAGAAAUUACUUGAAUUGCUGGAGCAUAUGCACUUGUCUCCCACUUCCGGCGCUGCGACGGCCUCGGGAGGUUCCCAGGCACGAUGAUCUCGAGAGAAUUGGCUCUCCAUGAAGCGCAGUGUCUUUUGUCGCUCCAUCUCGAAAUCUUCACACGCCUAGAAUCGACCAGUUGCUGCGGCGAUUCGAGAGCCGGAGAUUCACCGGCAACGAAGACGUCGCCGAGUUCGAUUGCGAGGAUCAAGCUCGCUAAACCGAAAGCACAUCGGAGUCGGUUUCUCCACGACCUUUCAUCUUCCUUCCUGUAUUUAAUCGAGGAAUCAGAGUUGAUUAAUCGAUUCACUCACACCGAUAGUCGAGCGGCUUUGGUGGAAUCAAAUGAGUUUGAAUCGGGAGAUCGAGGAAGGAGAAAAACUGAAGAAGAUGAAGAGUUGAUUCUUAUAGCCAUUAUCUCUGAUUUUUAUUUCUCGAAGAAAAAGUCUAACAAUUAAGAACGAGAGGGGCUGCAAGUGUGAUGCUUAUAUAUAGAGAGUGGUUUUGGAAAACGUUUAGUUACAUCUACUAUUGAACAAAGCAAUUAUC